rnacentral:rRNA from 1 species
AAAUUGAAGAGUUUGAUCAUGGCUCGAUUGAACGCUGGCGGCAGGCCUGAAUACAUGCAAGUGCCGAACGGUACAGGAAGCAGCUUGCCGCUUUGCUGACGAGUGGCGGACGGGUGAGUAAUGCCCGGGAAACUGCCUGAUGGAGGGAUAACUACUGGAAAACGGUGGCUAAUACCGCAUAACGUCGCAGCAAGACCAAAGAGGGGUAAUCCUUUCGCCUCUUGCCAUCAGAUGCCCAGAUGGGGAUUAGCUAGUUGGUGAGGUAACGGCUCAAUUAAGGCGACGAUCCUAGCUGGUCUGAGAGAUGACCAGCCAAUACCCGGAACUGAGACACGGUCCAGACCUACGGGAGGCAGCAGGGGAAUAUUGGUACAUCGGGCGCAAGCCUGAUGCAGCCAUGCCGCGUAUGAAGAAGGCCUGGUUAAAGUACUUUCAGUUGAGAAGGUGUUGUGGUGCCACAACCACAGCAAUUGACGUUACCCGCAGAAGAAGCACCGGCUAACCCGUGCCAGCAGCCGCGGUAAUACGGAGGGUGCAAGCGUUAAUCGGAAUUGGGCGCAAAGCGCACGGCGGUCUGCUCGCCGGAUGUGAAAUCCCCUGGCUCAACCUGGGAACUGCAUUCGAAACCGGCAGGCUUGAGUCUUGUAGAGGGGGGUAGAAUUCCAAAGCGGUGUCGCAGAGAUCUGAGGAAUACCGGUGGCGAAGGCGGCCCCGACAAAGACUGACGCUCAGGUGCGAAAGCGUGGGGAGCAAACAGGAUUAGAUACCCGGGUAGUCCGCCGCGCCGUAAACGAUGUCUACUUGAGGUUGUGCCCUUGAGGCGUGGCUUUCCGGAGCCAACGCGUUGGCAGACCGCCCGGGAGUACGGCCGCAAGGUUAAAACUCAAAAUGAAUUGACGGGGCCCGCACAAGCGGAGCAUGUGGUUACCCGAUGCAACGCGAACCUUUACCCGGCCCUGACAUCCACAGAACUUCUUCCCCAGAGAUGGACUGGUGCCUUCGGGAACCGUGGAGACAGGUGCCGCAUGGCUGUCGUCAGCUCGUGUUGUGAAAUGUUGGGUUAAGUCCCGCAACGAGCGCAACCCUUAUCCUUGUUGCCAGCGGUCCGGCCGGGGAACAAGGAGACCGCCAGUGAUAAACUGGAGGAAGGUGGGAUGACGUCAAGUCAUCAUGGCCCUACGACUGCGGCUACACACGUGCUACAAUGGCGCAUGUUAAAAGCAGCGACCUCGCGAGAGCAAGCGGACCUCAUAAAGUGCGUCGUAGUCCGAUUGAGUUCGCAACUGACCUUACGAAGUCGAAUCGCUAGUAAUCGUGAUCAGAAUGCCACGGUGAAUACGUUCCCGGCCUUGGUACAAUACGCCCGUCACACCAUGGAGUGGGUUGCAAAGAAGUAGUAGGUAGCUUAACCUUCGAGGGCGCUUACCACUUCAGAUUCAUGACUGUGGGUGAAGUCGUAACAAGCGCGUAAAUCAGAACCUGCGGUUGAUCACCUAC